GCUACCAUGCAAGUCGAACGGCAGCACAGAAGAGCUUGCUCUUUGGGUGGCGAGUGGCGGACGGGUGAGUAAUGUCUGGGAAACUGCCCGAUGGAGGGGGAUAACUACUGGAAACGGUAGCUAAUACCGCAUAACGUCGCAAGACCAAAGUGGGGGACCUUCGGGCCUCACACCAUCGGAUGUGCCCAGAUGGGAUUAGCUAGUAGGUGGGGUAAUGGCUCACCUAGGCGACGAUCCCUAGCUGGUCUGAGAGGAUGACCAGCCACACUGGAACUGAGACACGGUCCAGACUCCUACGGGAGGCAGCAGUGGGGAAUAUUGCACAAUGGGCGCAAGCCUGAUGCAGCCAUGCCGCGUGUAUGAAGAAGGCCUUCGGGUUGUAAAGUACUUUCAGCGGGGAGGAAGGCGGUGAGGUUAAUAACCUUGCCGAUUGACGUUACCCGCAGAAGAAGCACCGGCUAACUCCGUGCCAGCAGCCGCGGUAAUACGGAGGGUGCAAGCGUUAAUCGGAAUUACUGGGCGUAAAGCGCACGCAGGCGGUCUGUUAAGUCAGAUGUGAAAUCCCCGGGCUUAACCUGGGAACUGCAUUUGAAACUGGCAGGCUUGAGUCUCGUAGAGGGGGGUAGAAUUCCAGGUGUAGCGGUGAAAUGCGUAGAGAUCUGGAGGAAUACCGGUGGCGAAGGCGGCCCCCUGGACGAAGACUGACGCUCAGGUGCGAAAGCGUGGGGAGCAAACAGGAUUAGAUACCCUGGUAGUCCACGCCGUAAACGAUGUCGACUUGGAGGUUGUGCCCUUGAGGCGUGGCUUCCGGAGCUAACGCGUUAAGUCGACCGCCUGGGGAGUACGGCCGCAAGGUUAAAACUCAAAUGAAUUGACGGGGGCCCGCACAAGCGGUGGAGCAUGUGGUUUAAUUCGAUGCAACGCGAAGAACCUUACCUGGCCUUGACAUCCAGAGAACUUAACAAAAAUGCUUUGGUGCCUUCGGGAACUCUGAAACAGGGGCUGCAUGGCUGGCGCCAGCUCC
rnacentral:rRNA from 1 species